AGGCAAGGUAUCUAGUGCAGAGACCUGCUGUUGAAGUGGUGGUUUUGGAGGAGAUACUCAAGUAAUCUCCUCCAGAAGCACAGCAACCUGUCAGGUGCUGAGUCAGAGCUCCAGGACAUGCCUUCCUGUCAUAACUGAUGGAUGGGAAUCUAAGCAUCCCAGAAUGCUGUGCAAUUGUGGUGUGCAGGAAUAACUGCAUAAAUGAUAAACAACCUGUCCAACAACCAAGGCAUCUGCUUUCUGAAGCAGGGAAGAUGAGUUGGAUCUUGAGCAGAAGACAUGGAUCUUCAGUAUAAUACAUUAGAUUCCUGUACAAAUAGGUACCAGCUUCAGGUGGACUGCAGACCUUUAAGGCAGCCUGCGGUAGAAUCUCCUUCUUUCCAGCGACCGUAGAGAGAUCACUGGGAGUUGUUCUAGUAGGACUUGUGUUUAUCAUCUUCUACCACUUGCUCAAAUAACUUGAUGCUCAGUUACCCUACUUGUUGCAGCACAACAGGAACAGAGACCUCCUUAUUUCACUUAGGCAAAUAUUAAUAACAGAAAGUCUGCGGAAGAGAGAGAGUAAGAAGCAGCCACUACAUAAAUGAUGCAGUGAGAUCAUGCAGCAGAGGUAGACUACAGCCAAUAGAUAAGGAAUAAUAAGGAAACUUUGCAUCUUUCAUCUACUGGAGUAAAUAAUAGGACUGACAACUGCCUCACUAUAUAUGGCUUUGAUUUUCAUCUUUGACAUUUUGUGAUAUGUUUGAUACAGACAGGACUCUCUUGUGGAAGCGCCGAACACUUAAAUCUGCAAAUUAAGUUCCUCAGAGAUAUGGUGGACAUUAAAUCUUAACAUUUUUUUAAAAAAGAGUAGGAUCUAAAUAUCCCAAGUUAGACACUAAGAAUCCGGGGAUUCAUUUUCUGUUGUCUUGGCUCUUACCAAUAAAUUAAUUUACCACCUCACAAAGAAAUGGAAUGCUAUCCAGUCCAUCCAGGGUAUUACUUAAAGUACACAUAACCAAGUUGACUGGAGGUGAGGCAAAAAUGUCUAAUUCUGACACUUCCCAAAAUUUCGAGUGUUUGCCCUUGCAACUGUGAUUCUUCAUAUUAUUUUUGCCUUUGGGAUGUUAUAUUAUGAAUAACUCAAAACAACAACAACAAAAUCUUAUUUAAAAGUGUUUAGAAAUUGUUAGAAAACACUUCUGCAUGUCAGGCAUGAAUUUUCCUCUUCAACAAGAGGUCAAAUUAAAUCCACAAGAAACAAAUUUGGUCUUAAUUUUGAGAUGUAAACAGUAAUUUAAGUAAAAUGUACCAUAUGUCUUUUGACAUUCAAGCAAGUCUUU
rnacentral:lncRNA from 7 species